GUCCUCUUGAUUUAUAAUAGGAGGUUUGACCUGCCCAGUGAAUUUAUUUAACGGCCGCGGUACUUUGACCGUGCAAAGGUAGCAUAAUCAUUAGUCUUUUAAAAGGGGGCUGGAAUGAAGGGUUUGACGAAGAACUUACUGUCUCAUUUUAUUUGUAUUUAGAAUUUAACUUUUUAGUCAAAAGGCUAAAAUUUUGUUGGAAGACGAGAAGACCCUAUAGAGCUUUAUAUUUAAAUGAUUAUUUAUUUAAUAUUAUUUAUAAUUAUUUGUUUAAAUAUUUUGUUGGGGUGACAAAAAUAUAUAAUUAACUUUUUUAUUAUAAAGUACAUUGAUUUAUGAAUAUUAGAUCCAUUAUUAUUGAUUGAUAGAUUAAGUUACCUUAGGGAUAACAGCGUAAUCCUUUUCCAGAGUUCAUAUUUACGAAGGGGCUUGCGACCUCGAUGUUGGAUUAAGAUAAUUUUUAGGUGUAGCCGCUUAAUUAAUAGGUCUGUUCGACCUUUAAAUUCUU
rnacentral:rRNA from 1 species